rnacentral:lncRNA from 1 species
AACCCUUUCUUGUGGUCGUUCUUUCUGCAUCUCUUGUCCCCAUUCCCUAUCCCUGACUCUCUUGCCCCAGGUUGAUGUCCUGCAGGUUGGGACAACUGGUACCCAAUGUGGGGCUGGAUAGAGUUGGGAAUCUGGGAACUUCAGUGCUCAUUAGAGGGACGAGCCCGUCCAUGCAGUGAGGUGUCCACGACAAGGUCGAUUGUGAGCCUCAGUUGGAAGAAGACCCAGCGCUUGGGACUUUCGAUUCAUGAGCACCACCUAUGUGGAAAAGUCUUAGGAGACACCUGUGAAAGGAUCACUCCGUCCCAAAGGGAUCGUAACCCCCAGGUUGAGAAGCACUGUUUUGAAAAUCAGCUCCAGCCAUUUGGCCUCACUACUCUUUUGUUCUUCAGCCAUCUGAGGACACAGAACUCCUACCUUAGAGGGACACACAAACAAG